UAGGGAAUCUUCCACAAUGGACGAAAGUCUGAUGGAGCAACGCCGCGUGAGCGAAGAAGGUUUUCGGAUCGUAAAGCUCUGUUGCGAGGGAAGAACAAGUACGGGAGUAACUGCCCGUACCUUGACGGUACCUCGUCAGAAAGCCACGGCUAACUACGUGCCAGCAGCCGCGGUAAUACGUAGGUGGCAAGCGUUGUCCGGAAUUAUUGGGCGUAAAGCGCGCGCAGGCGGUCCUUUAAGUCUGAUGUGAAAGCCCACGGCUCAACCGUGGAGGGUCAUUGGAAACUGGAGGACUUGAGUACAGAAGAGGAAAGCGGAAUUCCACGUGUAGCGGUGAAAUGCGUAGAGAUGUGGAGGAACACCAGUGGCGAAGGCGGCUUUCUGGUCUGUAACUGACGCUGAGGCGCGAAAGCGUGGGGAGCAAACAGGAUUAGAUACCCUGGUAGUCCACGCCGUAAACGAUGAGUGCUAAGUGUUAGGGGGUUUCCGCCCCUUAGUGCUGCAGCUAACGCAUUAAGCACUCCGCCUGGGGAGUACGGCCGCAAGGCUG
rnacentral:rRNA from 1 species